rnacentral:rRNA from 1 species
UACGGAGGGUGCGAGCGUUGUCCGGAAUCAUUGGGCGUAAAGGGCUCGUAGGCGGUUUGUCGCGUCGGGAGUGAAAACUCAGGGCUUAACCCUGAGCCUGCUUCCGAUACGGGCAGACUAGAGGUAUGCAGGGGAGACUGGAAUUCCUGGUGUAGCGGUGGAAUGCGCAGAUAUCAGGGAGGAACGACCGGUGGCGAAGGCGGGGUCUCUGGGCAGUAACAUGACGCUGGAGGAGCGAAAGCGUGGGGAGCGAACAGG